rnacentral:rRNA from 1 species
ACGGGAGGCAGCAGUGGGGAAUAUUGCACAAUGGGGGAAACCCUGAUGCAGCGACGCCGCGUGAAGGAAGAAGUAUCUCGGUAUGUAAACUUCUAUCAGCAGGGAAGAUAGUGACGGUACCUGACUAAGAAGCCCCGGCUAACUACGUGCCAGCAGCCGCGGUAAU